rnacentral:rRNA from 1 species
AUUGAACGCUGGCGGCAGGCCUAACACAUGCAAGUCGAGCGGAUGAGAAGAGCUUGCUCUUCGAUUCAGCGGCGGACGAGUGAGUAAUGCCUAGGAAUCUGCCUGGUAGUGGGGGACAACGCUUCGAAAGGAACGCUAAUACCGCAUACGUCCUACGGGAGAAAGCAGGGGACCUUCGGGCCUUGCGCUAUCAGAUGAGCCUAGGUCGGAUUAGCUAGUUGGUGAGGUAAUGGCUCACCAAGGCGACGAUCCGUAACUGGUCUGAGAGGAUGAUCAGUCACACUGGAACUGAGACACGGUCCAGACGCCUACGGGAGGCAGCAGUGGGGAAUAUUGGACAAUGGGCGAAAGCCUGAUCCAGCCAUGCCGCGUGUGUGAAGAGGGUCUUCGGAUUGUAAAGCACUUUAAGUUGGGAGGAAGGGUUGUAGAUUAAUACUCUGCAAUUUUGACGUUACCGACAGAAUAAGCACCGGCUAACUCUGUGCCAGCCGCCGCAGUAAUAC